GAUCCCUCCGACAUGACACAACAUCCUGCAGCGAUGUUGUGCGACCUGCAGUGUCAGUCGAAGGCAUC
rfam:Emmonsia sp. CAC-2015a strain CBS 136260 supercont2.1486, whole genome shotgun sequence.